AAUCUGUGAUAAAAAACCUGCGUGAAGAUAGUGUUAACAACAUGAAGAACAUACGGAAAGAAAACAAACUCUACUCAUACAAAGAGCAGUUGGAAGAAUUAGAGUUACGGA